rnacentral:rRNA from 1 species
CAAUAGCGUAUAUUAAAGUUGUUGCAGUUAAAAAGCUCGUAGUUGGAUUUCUGGUAGGAGCGACCGUGCCGAACUUGAUUGUUCGAGUAUUGUGUUGUCUUCAGCCAUCCUCGUGGAGAACUUUUCUAACAUUAACUUGUUGGGAUUGGGACCCGCGUCGUUUACUGUGAAAAAAUUAGAGUGUUUAAAGCAGGCAUUAGCUUGAAUACAUUAGCAUGGAAUAAUAAGAUAGGACUUUGGUACUAUUUUGUUGGUUUGCAUACCAAAUUAAUGAUCAACAGGAACAGUUUGAGGAUAUUUGUAUGAACAUGUCAGAGGUGAAAUUCUUGGAUUUUGAUCAGACGAACUACUGCGAAAGCAUUUAUCAAGGAUGUUUUCAUUAA